rnacentral:lncRNA from 1 species
UCGUAGUAGCCGGUGAUAUCGUCGUCCAACCCCCAGAUCUGUCCGAACACGACCCCCUCCACCGCGACUCCUUCCGCGGCGGGGUCGUCAGCCGCAGGAGCCUCACCACCAUCGUCCGACGAGGACUGCACCGGCGGAGGCAGUCCGAGCUCGUCAUCGGAGGCUUCGAGGAGGAAUCCCAGAUCCGGCUGGUCGGUCUUCACCAAUGCCCGGGUGGGCGGCGGCGGCGGCGGGGAGGAGAGAGCGAUCUCCUCCUCGAGGCUCUUCAUGACGGAGGCGAUGUCCUGGUCUCCGGCUUCAGCGUCAUCGUCGAGGAUGUCGAGGAAGAGAUCGUCUCGGAGGCGCUUGGCCUCCGGCGACUCCUGCUCUUCCGCCUCGUCGCGGCGCCUCUUGCGGU